GUGAGGAAUAUUGGUCAAUGGGCGAGAGCCUGAACCAGCCAAGUCGCGUGAAGGAAGAAGGAUCUAUGGUUCGUAAACUUCUUUUGCAGGGGAAUAAAGUGCAGGACGUGUCCUGUUUUGUAUGUACCCUGAGAAUAAGGAUCGGCUAACUCCGUGCCAGCAGCCGCGGUAAUACGGAGGAUCCGAGCGUUAUCCGGAUUUAUUGGGUUUAAAGGGUGCGUAGGUGGUUUGAUAAGUCAGCGGUGAAAGUUUGCAGCUUAACUGUAAAAAUGCCGUUGAAACUGUCGGACUUGAGUGUAAAUGAGGUAGGCGGAAUGCGUGGUGUAGCGGUGAAAUGCAUAGAUAUCACGCAGAAUUCCGAUUGCGAAGGCAGCUUACUAAGCUACAACUGACACUGAAGCACGAAAGCGUGGGGAUCAAACAGGAUUAGAAACCCGAGUAGUCC
rnacentral:rRNA from 1 species